CCAGACUCCUACGGGAGGCAGCAGUGAGGAAUAUUGGUCAAUGGGCUUACGCCUGAACCAGCCAAGUCGCGUGAGGGAAGACUGUCCUAUGGAUUGUAAACCUCUUUUGUCAGGGAGCAAAGGGCGCCACGUGUGGCGUUUUGCGAGUACCUGAAGAAAAAGCAUCGGCUAACUCCGUGCCAGCAGCCGCGGUAAUACGGAGGAUGCGAGCGUUAUCCGGAUUUAUUGGGUUUAAAGGGUGCGCAGGCGGAAUGUCAAGUCAGCGGUAAAAUUUCGGGGCUCAACCCCGUCGUGCCGUUGAAACUGGCGUUCUUGAGUGAGCGAGAAGUAUGCGGAAUGCGUGGUGUAGCGGUGAAAUGCAUAGAUAUCACGCAGAACUCCGAUUGCGAAGGCAGCAUACCGGCUCCACACUGACGCUGAGGCACGAAAGCGUGGGUAUCGAACAGGAUUAGAUACCCCGGUAAAG
rnacentral:rRNA from 1 species